ensembl:ncRNA ZC53.17 ncRNA
ACUUCGAAUAUCAUUGAGCACAAAAUUUUUAUUCUUUUCAAAAAAAGAAUUUAUAAUUUUUGUGAUGAUUUUCAUAUAAUAUUCGAUUCCUCUUUUCUCAAAAAGGUCAAAGUAUUUUUCAAAAUUGAUUUCUGUACCUUUGUUUCUAUA